rnacentral:rRNA from 1 species
UACGUAGGUGGCAAGCGUUGUCCGGAUUUACUGGGCGUAAAGAGCGCGCAGGCGGUCGUGCAAGUCGCGUGUGAAAGCCCCCGGCUCAACUGGGGAGGGUCACGCGAUACUGCUCGACUCGAAGGCAGGAGAGGGAAGUGGAAUUCCCGGUGUAGUGGUGAAAUGCGUAGAUAUCGGGAGGAAUACCAGUGGCGAAGGCGGCUUCCUGGCCUGUUCUUGACGCUGAGGCGCGAAAGCUAGGGUAGCAAACGGG